GGCCUGCUUGGUUGUAUCUUGUCAAUGGUUUCUUUCCAGCCCAGUCUCAUGAAUGUACGUACCUUGGACUCCUGCUUUUGCCAUGCCUCUGGCACUACCUGUUUUUUCUCCUAUGUGUGUUCCUUGGAUAGCUCAUGAACUCCAUGACUGGAGCUGUGGAGUUACUUAGCACCCAGCUUGCUUUCUCUUAUGGACGGCCUGACUCUUGUUGCUCCUUUGACGUAAGGGCAGAGCUGCCUACACUAGAGGAAUUUCCAUCAAGGAGAGAGCAAGGAAUAAAGACCAUCCUUGCUGUCUGCAGUGAAGAAGAGAUGUAUUCAGUAGUAUUCAUCCCAGAAGAUGAACAGAAGGAAAUCAUGGAACUACGUGUGGCUUUCUCACCUCUCAGUUCAGGAACAGAAGCUUUGACAACUGCCAGAAGGAGAACGUGGACGAGACUUUCAUCCGAGUUUCUAGGUCUUUCAAUGGCAUCUGUCAGCACAUUCAUUCUUCCUGUAAUCAGUGUCCCUUUGACAACUUAGAACAAACUGUCACUGACAUGAAACCCAUCCUCUAGAAAGGACAGCACAGCUUCGCACACUGUGAUUUAGGGUCCUAUUGCACUGUCUGCCUAUGAUGUGUGUGGUCUCUAAGGAUGGAGAUUGACAUUGCUUAAAAAAAAUCAGCCUAUUUGUGUGGUUAGGGAUUCAAAUGCAUGGCUUUCUGCAAAUAUGCAUUUUUAAUAUAAAAGGCUGCCAGCAGAGAGGAUCCCAUGGUGCAGUUUGUAGGAUCUUGUAAGAAUUUAGUGAGAUUAAGUUCCUGUAAAUUCCUUGAAGCAUCUGUACAACCUACAACGCAGUUCUGCAGUGUGUUUUUUCAACUAAAGAACUGUUAGGUCUUCCUCAAGUACUUGUCAAAACAGCAGGGUCUACAAUACCAGGAACAUCCAGUUUCCUACUGGGGGUCUAUGGGGAAAAGCCUUACUGUGAGUAGUGUGGGUGCUGCUCUGCAGGAACAGGCUGAGUGAUCUUCUCUGCCAUCAGCAGAGACCAGAAAGCUUGUUUCAGCCUCCUUAAACAAAAGUACGAGUGCAUAUUGACCAAGGAAUUCCUAUCACUAAUCUCAGGAGUUGUCUACAACCACUCUUCCUUAAUUCACACGAUGCCUGUCUUUGCAGAGAUCCAUUGAUGGUAGAAGCGUGCUAACAAACCCUGGUAAAUCAUUCCAAUCUUGCACUGUUUUUAAAAACUUAGUUCUGCCUUCCUGAAGUUGAUUAUUUAAACAUGUUCUGUUCUGACCAUUUCCCUUCAUAAUGACCUCUAAUACAUUUUUGCUGAAGAAGCUAUAAAAGGAUAGCCAGUGUAUUCUUGACUGUCCUGUUCAGUUGUUCAUUCUUUGAUUAAUAUUCUGAGAAAAAAUCCCACAUCAGGUAGCUAAGUACAGUUGCUC
rnacentral:lncRNA from 1 species